rnacentral:rRNA from 1 species
GAUGAACGCUGACAGAAUGCUUAACACAUGCAAGUCAACUUGAACUUCGGUUUGGGUGGCGGACGGGUGAGUAACGCGUAAAGAACUUGCCUCACAGCUAGGGACAACAUUUGGAAACGAAUGCUAAUACCUGAUAUUAUGAUUUUAGGGCAUCCUAGAAUUAUGAAAGCUAUAUGCGCUGUGAGAGAGCUUUGCGUCCCAUUAGCUAGUUGGAGAGGUAACGGCUCACCAAGGCGAUGAUGGGUAGCCGGCCUGAGAGGGUGAACGGCCACAAGGGGACUGAGACACGGCACUUACCACUACGGGAGGCAGCAGUGGGGAAUAUUGGACAAUGGACCAAGAGUCUGAUCCAGCAAUUCUGUGUGCACGAUGAAGUUUUUCGGGAUGUAAAGUGCUUUCAGUUGGGAAGAAAAAAAUGACGGUACCAACAGAAGAAGUGACGGCUAAAUACGUG